CACCUGGUAGCACAUGGAGUGCACCUGCCUUUCUUAAACAAUCGAUCAUCCUAAGUUAUAUGUUAGCAGGAGGUCCCCGUUCGAUUCGGGGUUGGGUGA